rnacentral:snoRNA from 1 species
AACUCUACAGUGUUCUUGGACACAUAAGAAUUGGAGGCAAAAGGAUGUGGACUUGGAGAAAUCUGGAGCUCACUUGCUCACCACAGGCUCAAGAUCAUCCUUUCCCACACAG